AUGGGGAGAGCCAGCGGCUGCAACGCCGGCGGGGAGAACGCGAUCGCGAGGGAGCUCGUGCUCAAGGUGGCCAUGCACUGCCGCUGCGACGGGUGCACGCCCAAGGUGCGCUCCGCCGUGAUGAACCUCGCGCUGGCGCCGGGCGUGCUGCAGGUGCUGGGCCGGUCGGCGACGGAGGCCACCGAGGAGGUACGGCUGAUCGCCACGGCCGACCCCGAGCGUCUCCGCAGGAGGCUCCACAAGGCCACCGGCAAGAAGGAGGUCGGCCUAGUCUUAAUCCCACCAAGGAAGACCUCCGACGGCGGCAGCAGCCACAAGAAGGGCCCUCGGCUCGUCGACGCCGCCGCGGUCCAGGCGCCGCUCGCCGACCCGCAGCUCGAGGCGCUUCUCGCUCACCUGCAGCGGCACGCUCUGCUCGCCGACCUGCAGCCGCAGGCGCCGCUGCGGGGCCAUCGUGAUCAGUACGUCGACCAUGGCGCGGCAGCCGCGUUGCCGGGCAACUACCAGCAGCAGCAGCCGAAUCUCGACUGGGACAGCUACGGCGAGGCGUCCUAUCCGUGGGUGCCACCCCACUGGCCGGCCCCGGCCGCGGCGCCGGCCCUUGAUUGGGGAGCGAACUACGGACCGGCGUGGGCUCCGCCUGGCAACUGCGACCCCAGCGCGCCGCCGUGGCACAGCGGCCUGGGCUUCUGA
rnacentral:rRNA from 1 species